rnacentral:lncRNA from 1 species
UGGAAAUCUAUGAAAUUUUAACACAAGGUUUAUGACCACAAAAGGAAGGUUGGUAUUGAUUUUGGGAGUUUUGGUCCCAACAUUUUAGGAAUUAGGGGCCAAAAAGGGCCCAAAAUAAGCAUUUUCUUGGUUUUCGCACUAUAACUUUAGUUUAAGUUAAUAGAAAUCUAUGAAAUUUUGACACAAGGUUUAUGACCACAAAAGAACGGUUGGGAUUGAUUUUGGGAGUUUGGUUUCAACAGUUUAGGAAUAAGGGGCCAAAAAAGGGCCCAAAUAAGCAUUAUUCUUGGUUUUCGCACAAUAACUUUAGUUUAAGUAAAUAGAAAUCAAUGAAAUUUAAACACAAUGUUAAUGACUACAAAAGGAAGGUUGGUAUUGAUUUUGGGAGUUUAGGUCCCAACAGUUUAGGAAUUAGGGGCCAAAAAGGGACCCAAAUAAGCAUUUUUCUUGGUUUUCGCACCAUAACGUUAGUAUAAGUAAAUAGAAAUCUAUGAAAUUUAAACACAAGGUUUAUGACCAUAAAAGGAAGG